rnacentral:sRNA from 10 species
CAAGUUAGAAUGGUGUUAAAAUAUUCCCAAUAGGACAAGGGAGAAAUAACCCUUACAGAAUAUGAAAUUUAUCUUCAUCAGAUUCAUAUUCUGACCGAAGUU